rnacentral:rRNA from 1 species
AGCAGCCGCGGUAAUUCCAGCUCCAAUAGCGUAUAUUAAAGUUGUUGCAGUUAAAAAGCUCGUAGUUGAAUUUCGGGGUUAGUAGGUUGGUCAUGCCUCUGGUAUGCACUGGUCUUACUGAUUCCUCCUUCCUGAUGAGCCGUAAUGCCAUUAAUUUGGUGUUGCGGGGAAUUUGGACUGUUACUUUGAAAAAAUUAGAGUGUUUAAAGCAAGCUAACGCUUGAAUACAUUAGCAUGGAAUAAUGAAAUAGGACGUUCGAUCCUAUUUUGUUGGUUUCUAGGAUUGACGUAAUGAUUAAUAGGGAUAGUUGGGGGCAUUAGUAUUCAAUUGUCAGAGGUGAAAUUCUUGGAUUUAUUGAAGACUAACUACUGCGAAAGCAUUUGCCAAGGAUGUUUUCAUUAAUCAAGAACGAAAGUUAGGGGAUCGAAGACGAUCAGAUACCGUCGUAGUCUUAACCAUAAACUAUGCCGACUAGGGAUCGGAUGAUGUUAAUUUUUUAAUGACUCAUUCGGCGCCUUACG